GACGAACGCUGGCGGCGUGCCUAACACAUGCAAGUCGAGCGCGAAAGGGGGGCAACCCCGAGUAGAGCGGCGAACGGGUGAGUAACGCGUGGGUGAUUUGCCUCCGAGUGGGGAACAACACCGGGAAACUGGUGCUAAUACCGCAUGACAUCCUCGGGUCGUACUGAGGAUCAAAGCUGGGGACCGCAAGGCCUAGCGCUUGGAGAGAAGCCCGCGUCCGAUUAGCUAGUUGGUGGGGUAANGGCCUACCAAGGCGACGAUCGGUAGCCGGCCUGAGAGGGCGGACGGCCACACUGGGACUGAGACACGGCCCAGACUCCUACGGGAGGCAGCAGUGGGGGAAUUUUUCGCAAUGGGGGGAAACCCUGACGAAGCAACGCCGCGUGGAGGAUGAAGGCCUUCGGUCGUAACUA
rnacentral:rRNA from 1 species